rnacentral:pre_miRNA from 1 species
UCUUAUGGAUGAACAAGUGAAUUGGUUUCCUGAGAUGAAAUCUACUCCUGGUGAAGAUGUUGUGAA